AGGUUGUAGGGAACUGAAAGGGACCGACCCUUCGGGAGCCUAUACAGGUGUUGCAUGGCUGUCGUCAGCUCGUGUCGUGAGAUGUUCGGUUAAGUCCGCUAACGAGCGCAACCCUCGUCGUAUGUUAUAUGUGUCAUACGAGACUGCCGGUAAAAAGCCGGAGGAAGGUGAGGAUGAUGUCAAGUCAGCAUGACCUUUAUAUCCAGGGCUACACACACGCUACAAUGGUCUGUACAAUGGGUAGCCAAGCCGCGAGGCGGAGCCAAUCCUGAAAGCAGGCCUCAGUUCAGAUUGCAGUCUGCAACUCGACUGCAUGAAGCCGGAGUUGCUAGUAACCGCAGGUCAGCAAUACUGCGGUGAAUACGUUCCCGGGUCUU
rnacentral:rRNA from 1 species